rnacentral:rRNA from 1 species
AGGUCAAGUGAAGAAGGGCGCACGGUGAAUGCCUUGGCACUGGAAGCCGAUGAAGGACGCGACUAACCGCGAAAGUCUUCGGGGAGCCGUAAGUAGGCUUUGAUCCGGAGGUCUCCGAAUGGGGGAACCCAGCAUGUGCAGACAUGCUAUCCUUAAGUGAAUACAUAGCUUAAGGAGGGAACACGCAGUGAACUGAAACAUCUAAGUAGCUGCAGGAAGAGAAAGAAAUAUCGAUUUCCCAAGUAGCGGCGAGCGAACAGGAAAGAGCCCAAACCGGCAGAUUUAUCUGCCGGGGUUGUAGGACUGAGACAUGGC